GUAACGCUGGCGGCAUGCCCCACACAUACAAGUUGAACGGGUUUAAGCUUAUUAAUACUUAAACAAGUAGCGGACGGGUGAGUAACGCGUAAGAACCUACCUUUAGGUAAGGAAUAACUAUUGGAAACGAUAGAUAAUACCUUAUAAGCUUAUAGUAAAAGAUAAAAUCGCCUAAGGAUGGGCUUGCGUCUGAUUAGCUUUUGGUGAUUUAAAAGAUUCACCAAGGCAACGAUCAGUAGUUGGUCUAAGAGGAUGAUCAACCACACUGGGACUGAGACACGGCCCAGACCUCUACGGAGGGCAGCAGUGAGGAAUUUUCCGCAAUGGGCGAAAGCCUGACGGAGCAAUGCCGACGUGGAGGAUGAAAGCUUGUAGAGUCGUAAACUCCUUUUCUUAGUGAAGAAAUAAGACGGUAUCUAAGGAAUCAAGCAUCGGCCAAAAUCCGUGACCAGCAGCCGCGGUAAUCACGGAGGAUGCAA
rnacentral:rRNA from 1 species